rnacentral:rRNA from 1 species
GCCGCAUCUUUGUGCUAAGGUAGCAUAAUCAAUUGCCUUCUAAUUAAAGGAUAGAAUGAAAGGAUAAACGUCUUAAUAAUUUUACCAAUUAUCUUUAAUUAACUUUACUUAGAAGUAAAAAGGCUUCUAUAAAAAAAAAAGACAAAAAGACCCUGUCGAACUUAAUUCUAAUUUAGCUGGGGUGGCUAUCAACAAAAACUUUAAUUAAAACCUGUACCUAGACCUUAUAAAAUAAAUCACUGGAUCAAGUUACCGUAGGGAUAACAGCGUUACAGAAUUUCAAAGCUCUUAUAAAAAAUUCCUCCUGCGACCUCGAUGUUGAAUUAAAGUAACUUUUUUAAGUAAAACAAAAAAAAGUAGGUCUGUUCGACCUUUAAAACUUUACAUGAUUUGAGUUCAGACCGGCGUAAGCCAGGUCAGUUUAUAUCUUUUUUAAAAGAAAGCUAGUACGAAAGGACCUCUUUCUUAAUA